rnacentral:rRNA from 1 species
CCCUUAGAUGUCCUGGGCCGCACGCGCGCUACACUGAUGCAUUCAACGAGUAUUUCCUUGGCCGAGAGGCCUGGGCAAUCUUUUAAACCUGCAUCGUGAUAGGGAUAGAUUAUUGCAAUUAUUAAUCUUGAACGAGGAAUUCCUAGUAAACGCGAAUCAUCAAUUUGCAUUGAUUACGUCCCUGCCCUUUGUACACACCGCCCGUCGCACCUACCGAUUGAAUGGUCCGGUGAAAUCUCGGGAUUGUGGCCAGUUCACUUUAUUGGGAGUUGGCUGCGAGAACUUGCUUAAACCUUAUCAUUUAGAGGAAGGUGAAGUCGUAACA